GUCUAGUUCCUCGAGCUUAGCUGCUACUAAGGGUGCCGGCACCGCUGGGACCGCUGGGAUCACCGCUCCCUUGGAGAGAACCGCCACGCUUAAGAGUACGAUGAGCUAGAAUUUUGGAGAGAAACGACAUGGCUGACACUGGAAACUUGGACGAUGAACAAAGUGGAGGUAAAAGAAACAGAGCAACCUAUUCUAAACCUAGGGACGUAAACGUUCAAUAGAGGAGGGAGCAUAAUAAAUCUAUUUAGAGAUCGAUCGGACAAUAUUACUCACGACUUUAGGCGACGAUAUUCGACGUAUAAUAAUGUAAAUGUAUAAUAAGAGAAGAGGAACGAUAGCAUCUAUCAUCGACCAGUUAACAAUUGAUAAGCGUUACUCUACAUGAGUCUAAGCGAUAUUAUUUGAUCGAUAAGACUAGCCAGGACUAAUCGUCGCGAUUUGUGUACCUCCUUACCUUUCCAGCCAUGUUUGUUUGCAAGAGGAUCGCCAGGAGACUGAUGCCUCAGGGUAAGAUUCGUCGUACUUUUAUACGCGUGAUGACUGUCGGUGUUUUCGUGUCAUCCGCCAACAAUAACCCGAGCUAUUCCUUGCACCCAAACACGAAUCGUGCACACCCGUCUUACACACGCAUACACACCGCCCCCACUUGAAUCUCUCCUUCUUUUAUUCGGGCUGCCUAUUACUCUGUUUCUUUUACCAUCCGAUGACCUCCUCAUAAAUGUUGCGAUGUCCAUACGUACAACUACGAGUCGAUGAGUAUGCGCGCUUAUGUUUCUUCAUAUCGUCCCGGCGUAUACACGCGACCUGUAUGCCAAUAUGUCGAAGAUACAGAGCCUCUUCGAGGUCGUGCGACGAAACCGCGAACGUAAACCGUGAACUCCGCUGUAACCCUCUCGACGAAAGGUGUACGCACUUCCAAAAGUUUACGAUAUUGCGCGAUCGUUAUCGAUUAGCAUUUACGUCGCGCCUGCGACACCUUUGCCUGCACGAAACAGAAAAAAGGGUUUCUUAACGCUAGACGAGUGAAGUAUGAGACUCGUAUCAGUGAAAUCGAAACGAACGUGGAAAAUGUGUUGAUUGAAAGGGAAAGGGAAACCUUCGACUAUAUAUUUUACAAAGAUCAUCGAGAUUCCUGAAAAUACACUGUCCGAAAUUUAGGAGAUUUCUAUGAAGAAUGACGAGUUGGUCAUUUUUACCGUGUUCUGAUUCCAGCGAUAAUACUUGCGUCGAAAGAACGCUAACUGUCCGUUCUGAUUCGAUCUUUGGUACAAUUUUAAAUUAAAAAGGAAUUCUUAACGUAUGCAAUGGCAAAAAGUACCGGCUAUCGUCGUAUUUGUUGUAGCAUCUACGUACCGACUAACUGGACUCAAGUAUAUUAAAUCUCAUUUAAGUCAUUUAGCAGCACUUUGUAACGUGACUACAAAAAUUUGAUACCGUGAGAACGAAAUGAAGAUGAGCUAGUGAAAAAAGGAAACGUUUCAUUGGAAAAGGAACGUAUAUGGAAAUAACUUUUGCAGCCGGUGUACAUUGUUUGCGCUAAAUAGAUAGUAACUGAUGAAUUUAGGAUAAAGAUGACCCUGUUCGUGUUUAUCUUCGAUUAAUUCAAAUCAAGUAUUCGAUUGAUUUCUUUUCUAUAGUAAAAUGAAUCGAUAACGCUAUGAUAACAGCUAGCACCAAUACAUUAAUACAUUAAUGUGGUCGGAACAUGUGUCAAUCGAAUUCGCUUUAAAUUUGACACACGAUCGCCGAAUUUUAAGUGCAAACGAAGUGUGAGCCAGCAUAUAAUUUGUAUGCUGAUACAUCGAAGAAAGUCAUUCGAGGUUAUUCGACGAAAUUACGAAAGGAUCGCACGCAGGAGAAACCUCUCGUUCGAAUCGAAGAAUAGAAGGAAGAGAUGAUUCAUAUAUGCUGACAUACACGAGAUGCUUUUGGUAAUUCUUCUUUAAUUCUCAUACGUAUAUAAUAUAAUUAUCGUAAAAUAUAAAGAUAGAACGUUUAUCGUGUUUAGGGAAAUUUUGUCUAUGCUUCCUUAAAUCUGUGUAAAAAGAGGCUAUCUGUGCGAAGAGACAAUGGAUAAUUCGUCGAACUUUCUUUCGUAACAAAACAUUGUGAAAGGAUUACAACAGCCGCUUGUAGUCGAUUCGUUCUUUAUUGUUAGAUCUCUUAUUUGUUAUGCAUCACACGUAUAAAUCGCAAUAAUUUAUAUUCAUUUUCGAUAUAUAUAUCGUCCACUUGUAAUAUGAUAUCUUUUAUCUGUAGCAUAUAUUUUACAGGAAAAUUAAAGAAUCGUUGGUUUCUGGUUAAAGGAAUAACUUUAUUCCGCUGUAAUGCGAUCUUUAAAGUGCUACAGCAUAGAAAAGAAAGAUCGCAAAACAAUCUGCGUGGACUUACUUUAAAGCGCGAUACUUCUAUUUUCUGAUCAUCAAAUUGUAUUUCCUCGUAGUGCCUCUAUACUCGUAAAAAAGACGUAAAAGUGAGGAUGAUUUUUGUUGCAAAAAUGUAUGUUUUCAUCUAUUUCACUUUUCAUUCAAAGUGCCAUAGAACGGCGACGAAAGAUCGUAUAUCGAUUAUUAAGAAAUCGUUGCCUUUAAAUCUGUUUUGAAACGAAUCGCGAAAAAAUUUCUUGAAUUCCACAGGCUUGUUCGAAUUUGUAGAAUUUUCGGAAUAAAAAAUAAUUUUCACUUUCUCCCACCCCGCUUCUAAGUAUGAAAGCAUUCUCGAGAAAAAUUAAUUUAGAGUUGAGAAAGUAGAGACUUUGCCGUCUAAAAUGAGUCUAAUAGUUGUACAAUCUGUCAUCAGGAAAUUACAGUACUUCAAAAAUUGAUAACAUUUUAAUUCGGAAUUGAUGAUCGUUUAACUUGCCUGCAAAGAUUUAAGUAACAAAUAAAAGAAAUAGGUAAAAGGGCCCAUUUUUUAAUUUCAGAAAACAAGAAUUUUCUAAUCUAUAAUAUUUCACACAAAAAUAUUUGCUUAAAUAGUUGCAUGGAAAUAUAAUUUAUUAAUUGUUAUUGAUGCAAUCGUACGAUCUAGAAAAAAAAACACAAAUUUUAACUUUUAUUUAAAUUAAAAUGCAUCUAAUUAUAGAACGUAGAAACAUAAUUAUAAGGAUGGGAAUAACAAUGAUUACAAUAUAUUUUAAAAAAGUUUUUAAUAUAAACAUUUCAUUACAAAAUAAUUGCAGUAUGUACAGUGUAAUAUGACUAGUUACAUAGUAAGCGGUACAAAACGGUAAAUAUAAAUUUCUUCUGUAUUACAAGCAAGCACUAAGCAACGCAUGACUUAAAUGACAUAAAAUUCAUUUCAUUUCGCAACGAAUGAAUCUUUUUCAUACUGAUACCAAUUUAAUGUUAUAUUCUGCUUAUUAAAACGAGAUGAGAAAAUAAAUUGAAGCUAAAAUUC